rnacentral:rRNA from 1 species
GAUGAACGCUGGCGGCGUGCCUAAUAUAUGCAAGUCGAGCGAAUGGGUUAAGAGCUUGCUCUUAUGAAGUUAGCGGCGGACGGGUGAGUAACACGUGGGUAACCUGCCCAUAAGACUGGGAUAACUCCGGGAAACCGGGGCUAAUACCGGAUAACAUUUUGAACCGCAUGGUUCGAAAUUGAGAGGCGGCUUCGGCUGUCACUUAUGGAUGGACCCGCGUCGCAUUAGCUAGUUGGUGAGGUAACGGCUCACCAAGGCAACGAUGCGUAGCCGACCUGAGAGGGUGAUCGGCCACACUGGGACUGAGACACGGCCCAGACUCCUACGGGAGGCAGCAGUAGGGAAUCUUCCGCAAUGGACGAAAGUCUGACGGAGCAACGCCGCGUGAGUGAUGAAGGCUUUCGGGUCGUAAAACUCUGUUGUUAGGGAAGAACAAGUGCUAGUUGAAUAAGCUGGCACCUUGACGGUACCUAACCAGAAAGCCACGGCUAACUACGUGCCAGCCGCCGCAGUAA